CAUUCCGCCUGGGGAGUACGGUCGCAAGAUUAAAACUCAAAGGAAUAGACGGGGACCCGCACAAGUGGUGGAGCAUGUGGUUUAAUUCGAAGAUACGCGAAGAACCUUACCUAGCCUUGACAUACUACAGAAUUUGACAGAGAUGUUGGAGUGCCUUCGGGAGCUGUAAUACAGGUGCUGCACGGCUGUCGUCAGCUCGUGUCGUGAGAUGUUGGGUUAAGUCCCGCAACGAGCGCAACCCUCGUCCUUAGUUACUAACGGUUCGGCCGAGGACUCUAAGGAGACUGCCUUCGUAAGGAGGAGGAAGGUGAGGACGACGUCAAGUCAUCAUGGCCCUUACGGCUAGGGCAACACACGUGCUACAAUGGUUAGGACAAUGAGAAGCGAUACCGCGAGGUGGAGCAAAUCUAUAAACCUAAUCUCAGUUCGGAUAGCAGUCUGCAACUCGACUGCUUGAAGCUGGAAUCACUAGUAAUCGUAAAUCAGCUAUGUUACGGUGAAUACGU
rnacentral:rRNA from 1 species